UACGAAGGGUGCAACCGUUGCUCGGAAUCAUUGGGCGUAAAGCGCACGUAGGCGGCUUGCCAAGUCGGACGUGAAAUCCCUCAGCUCAACUGAGGACGUGCAUCCGAAACUGGCGAGCUUGAGUACUGAAGAGGAUCGCGGAAUUCCCGGUGUAGAGGUGAAAUUCGUAGAUAUCGGGAGGAACACCAGUGGCGAAGGCGGCGAUCUGGGCAGAUACUGACGCUGAGGUGCGAAAGCGUGGGGAGCAAACAGG
rnacentral:rRNA from 1 species